UAUUGAUCUUAAUAAUCUUCAAGCCAGAGAAGACUCUGCUAUUAGGCAAGGUGAGUUGGUGGCUGAAAGAUUUGGGAUUGGUGUUACAGCUGAAGCUCAGAGCAUUUUUUAUGCUCUGUCCAAAACGCUUCCAGUGCACUGGGACAAGACUACUAUAGUUGUGAUGAAUGAAGUGCGCGUUAGUAGCCCAUAUCUUCCUGAGUCCGUCCUUGGAGGAACUCCAACUGCUAAUGAGCGAGUGCAGAAAGUGCUUGAGUUUGAGAGGAGAGAUUACAAACUCACUAUGCUGGUCAAUGACUAUGUUACUCUGUCAUGCAUUGAGGGUGAAUUGGUGCCGUCGUGUUCGGAUUACUAAGGGAAUGGCUUCUCAACUCUCUGAGCAUCAAGUUCUUUUUGGAUUGUUACCAAGUUUUGAUGGAGAAGUUUCCCUCAUGAAGUUGUGAGGCAUGCUCAAGGAUUCCAUAAUGUGGAAGGGGAUAAGAACUAUAAAGCAUAUACGUCUCCAGAAUAUUUCGACGCACACCUUACUCCACUUGGCUGGCAACAGGUUGAUAAUUUGCGCAAGCAUGUACAUACAAGUGGGCUUUUGAACAGGAUUGAAUUAGUUGUCACAUCUCCAUUGCUAAGGACUAUGCAAACUGUUGUUGGGGUAUUUGGUGGUGAUGGCAUACAGACAGGACGGAUAUCUUGCCACUCAUGUUGGCAAAUGCAGGAAAUAGUCGGCAUGCUGCAAUUUCAAGCCUUAAUUGUCCUCCUAUUGUUGCAUUAGAACUUUGUCAAGAGCAUUUGGUAGGUCCUUUGAAGGUUAUGUGUGCACUUUUGAUUUUAAACGUGAACAUUCUUGUGGCUGUGGAUAGCAUUCUGAUUUUCUUGGUUUCAAGUCGGGUAGAAAGGAACCUUUGAUUUAAUUACUAAGCUCAAAUGCUUUAUCCAGUUCAAGGGAAUUAUUUGGAACUCUUGAAUAUUUCUUUUAGAACUAAAAUAUUAUGACUACUUCCACUUAAAUCCA